AAAGCACUUAAUGCAUCUGCGGCCAUACCCGAUCCCGUCUGAUCUCGGAAGCUAAGCAGGGUCGGGCCUGGUUAGUACUUGGAUGGGAGACCACCUAGGAAGACCAGGUGCUGUA
rnacentral:rRNA from 1 species